CUACGGAGGGUGCGAGCGUUACUCGGAGUCACGGGGCGUAAAGCGUCCGUAGGCGGUCGGGUAAGUCGGGUGUGAAAGCCCCGGGCUCAACCUGGGAAGUGCACCCGAUACUGCUCGACUCGAGUGCGGGAGAGGAUGGCGGAAUUCCCGGUGUAGCGGUGAAAUGCGUAGAGAUCGGGAGGAACACCAGUGGCGAAGGCGGCCAUCUGGCCCGCAACUGACGCUGAGGGACGAAAGCGUGGGGAGCAAACAGGAUUAGAAACCCCAGUAGUCC
rnacentral:rRNA from 1 species